UCCUCGUUAGUAUAGUGGUCAGUAUCCCCGCCUGUCACGCGCGAGACCGGGGUUCGAUUCCCCGACGGGGAG
rfam:Ixodes scapularis strain Wikel colony gcontig_1107729162900, whole genome shotgun sequence.